GAUGAAGAACGCAGCGAAAUGCGAUAAGUAGUGUGAAUUGCAGAAUUCAGUGAAUCAUCGAAUCUUUGAACGCACAUUGCGCCCCUUGGUAUCCCGAGGGGCAUGCCUGUUCGAGCGUCAUUUCACCACUCAAGCCUGGCAUGGUGUUGGGCGACGUCCUCUUUGGGGACGCGCCUCGAAACGCUCGGCGGCGUGGCACCGGCUUUAAGCGUAGCAGAAUCUUUCGCUUUGGAAGUCGGGGCCCCGUCUGCCGGAAGACCUGCUCGCAAGGUUGACCUCGGAUCAGGCAGGGAUACCCGCUGAACUUAAGCAUAUCAAUAAGCGGAGGA
rnacentral:misc_RNA from 1 species